CCGCUGCAGUGCUGGUGCUCUGUGCUUCAAGAUGACUCGCUGUCAUCCUCUGAUUUGCACUUUAUGGACACUUGUCCUCUCUGGAUUCACUCAAGCUCAUCCUCAAGUGGUCCAUGUGAAGCCUGUUGAGAAUCCCACCUACGUUGAGGAAUACCAGUGUGUAAUAGAAUCCAACCCUGAACACACAAAGUACAGCUGGAGCAGGCAGGGCCAAGAUGCUCUUCCUGAAGGAGUGAAAGCAGAAGAACACCGACUACACUUCCUGAAGUCAACCUCUGACCUCAACGGUCUCUACAUCUGUAUAGUAGAGAACGAGCUUGGAACCGCAGCAGGUUCACUGUAUCGAAAUUAUGGACACAGAGAUGAGCUUUAACGAAGGAUCUGAUGGAGAACUCCCAAGAAGAAACUCAGGAAGGAAAAAGGAGGUGCUUUUACAGUAGAUCACAGUGCUACUUGCAUAAUAGUCUAUGCCAAACUAUUUAAUACACUUCCUGACAUUUCCUGUUUGAGUAUAAGAUUAAAUGGCCAUUAUGUAAACAUUUGACAUUCAUGUUUGCUUUGACUUUCCAAAAAGUCUACAGUCAUAUGCAAAAAAAUCCAGGUGCCCCUGGUCACGUGACAGGUUUUCUUGGUUUUCUGAGUGAAAAUAUGUUAACAGAACACACUUAUGCACAUUUUCAUACAGUUAUUCAUUUGCUUGGAAAAAAUAAAACAAAACGUGGCCUGUGCAAAGGUUUGGCACAUUUUGUAUUUUAUGCUUAUUUUUUCCCCCCAAAUGUGUUAAACUUGGCCAGUAAAAUAAAUUGAAAUGCCAUAUUUAAGUUCAUAGUGUUAGUUCCACAUAGAUUAUUGAUACAGUUCAUUUAGUUAUUAACUUUCAGCAAUGCUAUGUGAAAAUGUUGGGUCAAGAUGGAAAGAGUUAGUGUUUCAGUCAAAACGCUGACUAACGAGAGGUUUAUGGGAAAUACAUUAGGUAACAGGUUUGGAAACUGCACACGUCAAUGUCUAUGACUGUGAUGCUCCUUUAUUGCUGCAAUAUGUAAAGAAAAACAGAAGAGCUGCUGUUCUUAAGGUCACUCAUGAUGUCAGUGCAGGAUGUGAUCAGAGAGGGAUGUUAUAGGGCUACAGUCCAAAAACCUCCAAGUAAAAAGAAAUGACAGUUCGUUGCUGUGAAAACCAUAGACACUGGUCUACAGAGAUGUGGAAAGAGGGAUCAUAUCAAAUGAGAAACAGAUGUAAAUCAUGUGUUACGACCUGCAGAGUAAAUCACAACCCAACUCCACACUCGUGGAAGAUUUUGGACUGACGUGCGAGACAGCGCUCUAGCUGAAGGAAUAUCUUUUUUGUUAAUUUGAUGUGUUAUGGUGUAUUGUAUUAUUUGUUUUUCAUGUCUCUGCUUUCUGCUGUCUGUACUUUUGUUUGUUCUUGUGCUGUCUUUUUGUUUGAUCAUGCAGGUGCAGCACUUUAAAUUGCACUUAAAAAACAGAUAGUAUGACAUAAA